UUUUUGUAAAAUUUUGUAAUAAAUUUACAUUUAUAAAGUUUUUCUCCGUAUUAUACGGUGACAGAAAAUUUUUUAGAUUUAAUAGAUAUCAUCAUCGUGGUCACUCAACGUUUGGGGAAAAAAAAAUAUCUUGCUUCAAGAUGUUUGUUGCUAUAUACAGCACGAUUUAAUUAAUAAUAGCUGUUGUAUUUAGAUCACAGGUUUUGUAGGGAUUUUUAAUUGAGAAUAUGGUGCUAAGGAACUAAAAAGUAUACAACGGAUAGGAUCAUCUUUGUCGUUCGACAUAAUGUUGAGUUUACUUAGUCUGCGUUCCAAAAUCCGUCUCAACUAGGACUUCAAUAGAUGUAUUUGCAAAAAGCGUUCUGGAUGGCUUCAGCCGUUGUAUAUGGAUUUAGGCCCUUGAAUGAAGUUUGGGAUUAGAUUCAUUUUACGACUAUAUCACCUGAUACAUUAUUAGAAAGAGUAGUGAACAGAUGUACCACUUGCAUUCAACCCCUUGUUUCAUCAAAUAAGACGUUAAGUACUGUACCAGACGAAGCAAUAAUGAAAAUAGUACAUAGACAUAGACUGUAAUUUGUUUACAACACCA